rnacentral:rRNA from 1 species
GACGAACGCUGGCGGCGUGCCUAAUACAUGCAAGUAGAACGCUGAAGGAGGAGCUUACUUCUCUGGAUGAGUUGCGAACGGGUGAGUAACGCGUAGGUAACCUGCCUGGUAGCGGGGGAUAACUAUUGGAAACGAUAGCUAAUACCGCAUAAGAGUAGAUGUUGCAUGACAUUUACUUAAAAGGUGCAAUUGCACCACUACCAGAUGGACCUGCGUUGUAUUAGCUAGUUGGUGGGGUAACGGCUUACCAAGGCGACGAUACAUAGCCAACCUGAGAGGGUGAUCGGCCACACUGGGACUGAGACACGGCCCAGACUCCUACGGGAGGCAGCAGUAGGGAAUCUUCGGCAAUGGACGGAAGUCUGACCGAGCAACGCCGCGCGAGUGAAGAAGGUUUUCGGAUCGUAACGCUCUGUUGUAAGAGAAGAACGAGUGUGAGAGUGGAAAGUUCACACUGUGACGGUAUCUUACCAGAAAGGGACGGCUAACUACGUGCCAGCAGCCGCCGUAA